AUGUUAGAGGACCUAGUGGGACAAUUUUAUCCCCUGGUUAUCCAGAACUUUAUCCAAAUUCACUGAACUGUACAUGGACUGUGGAUGUUACCCAUGGUAAAGGUGUGCAGUUCACCUUUUACACCUUUCAUCUGGAAGAUCAUCAUGACUACUUACUAAUAACAGAAAAUGGCAGUUUCACACAGCCAUUAGCACGUCUGACUGGCUCAGAGCUUCCUUCACCAAUCAAUGCUGGUCUCUACGGAAAUUUUAGAGCCCAGUUGCGCUUUAUAUCAGAUUUUUCAAUAUCAUAUGAAGGAUUUAACAUUUCUUUUUCUGAGUAUAAUCUUGAACCUUGUGAAGAUCCAGGAAUCCCUCAAUUUGCUAACAGAGUAGGAUUUAAUUUUGGAGUGGGAGAUACUCUGACAUACUCCUGUUCAUCUGGAUAUCGUUUAGAAGGAACUUCAGAGAUUAUCUGUCUUGGCGGUGGCCGACGAGUAUGGAGUGCACCUCUGCC